UGGCUGAUUAUAGUUUGAUCGUCCAUGAGGGGAGAAAGUGAACCUAGCCAAUCUCUGAAGCCAACAGACACAUACGUUAUCCAGGAAGUUGACACAGGCUCCUGAAGAUUGUUGUGCAUGGCACCCCCAGUGGCACCUAGAAAAGGACUGACCAACUAUCAAAAAAGUUUGAGUUUUUUAGGAUCUACCCACCUCCAAGCCUUGUAAGAGCUGUACAGCCCCUUCUCAAGCAAGGCAAGAAUCUAUAGCACACAAUUAUGAGUUUCAACCCAGAAGAGUUUCAAUUCAAGCUUCUACUUCCUUGGGUAAACUCUUCCUGGGCAGGAUGUGACUCUUCAGAGGAAUUUUGUAAUCCCCCUUCCCAGAAGUGCCCAUGUCAAGGCCAUGCUACAGAGGAGGCCCAAGAGCAAUUACUAACCAACCAGUUGGAAGCCCAGAAAAUAUACUUGAUCUGAGCCAAAAGCCCGAGAAGCAACUGGAAGCCCAGCAAAUACAACGGUGUCCUGCAGCUGAUGCCUUUGCUCCGGACUAAGGCAUAAUCCAACCACUUCCUCUUCAUAAGACAAGUAUUGUCUGGAGGAGUCUGUGUGUGACUUGGAGGAGAAAGGACAAAAAGAAUCAAGAGCUCAGUUCCCACAUUGCCUUCCCUAUGAUCCUGUGAAAGGGGGAACAAAAUGCCUGAGCAGGAAGCAGGGAAAGAGCUGUAAGACUCCAUGGGAAGAGGCUGAUUGGAGCCUUCCUUAGAGAAACUCAGCUAUCCUAGUUUUAACCUAUUCCCAUUCCUUACCAUUCUCACCUGUAAUUCUGUCUUGGCAAGAAAUCCACACUGAAUGCUCUCAAAGUACUUUGUAGACUUUAAUUAGUUCUGUGGGAAGUAAGGCAAAGCUUAGCCUUGAUUUUGCCAAAAGAGAUGAUGGCAGCAGGGGGGUGGGGGACAUGCAGAAAGCAAGGAGAUGAUGGACAACAAGAGCAAUUGUGCCACUUACUGAAGGCCAUGCAGUAUAGAAGGGACUGGGAUUCAAAUCUUUGAAUCUUGACUCUUGGUAAAAAUUUCGUAGCUUUCCAAAUUCCUCAACAAGCAGUGGGCUCACCCUACUAACCUACUUUGCUAGGGUGUUGUUGAUGAAUGCUUAUAAACCCUGUCCUAGAUGAUAGGUUUGGAGGAUUGUUAAGGAAAGCAUGUCAUUAAAUCUCUAC